UACGUAGGGCGCAAGCGUUGUCCGGAAUUAUUGGGCGUAAAGAGCUCGUAGGCGGUUUGUCGCGUCUGCUGUGAAACCUCAGGCUCAACCUGGGGCUUGCAGUGGGUACGGGCAGACUAGAGUGCGGUAGGGGUGACUGGAAUUCCUGGUGUAGCGGUGGAAUGCGCAGAUAUCAGGAGGAACACCGAUGGCGAAGGCAGGUCACUGGGCCGCAACUGACGCUGGAGGAGCGAAAGCGUGGGGAGCGAACAGG
rnacentral:rRNA from 1 species